AUCGAUUCUUGCCUUUUGACUAAGAUCAAGUGGAGUUGUCGAUUCUUAUCAGUUUAAUAUCUGAUAUGUCCUCUAUACAAGUACAACAUAUUAAAAGGAUUUUUAGAGCAGGGAGUUAGAAUGGGAGCUUGCUCCAUCCCCUCCACGCAUCCACCCGGUGUGCAGAACCUCUAGGAAUGUUGCAGCUCCU